rnacentral:misc_RNA from 1 species
UUUUAACGAUUUAUAUCUAUACUCAGACGGCACAGUUAUCAGAAUUUGAAUUGGCUACCGGCGGGCACGGGCCAGGGGCGGAAAAGCCCCCGGCAGCCCCAAAGGGCGGGCCCGCCAAAGCAACAUGGUUGGUUAAACAAAGGGUUGGAGGUCGGGCCUGGAAGACCCUUACUCGGUAAUGAUCCUUCCGCAGGUUCACCUACGGAAA